UACGUAGGGGGCAAGCGUUGUUCGGAAUUAUUGGGCGUAAAGAGCGUGUAGGCGGUCCGGUAAGUCCGCUGUGAAAGUCCAGGGCUCAACCCUGGAAUGCCGGUGGAUACUGCCGGGCUAGAGUCCGGAAGAGGCGAGUGGAAUUCCUGGUGUAGCGGUGAAAUGCGCAGAUAUCAGGAGGAACACCGAUGGCGAAGGCAGCUCGCUGGGACGGUACUGACGCUGAGACGCGAAAGCGUGGGGAGCAAACAGG
rnacentral:rRNA from 1 species